AGGGGGAUAACUACUGGAAACGGUAGCUAAUACCGCAUGACCUCGAAAGAGCAAAGUGGGGGACCUUCGGGCCUCACGCCAUCGGAUGUGCCCAGAUGGGAUUAGCUAGUAGGUGAGGUAAUGGCUCACCUAGGCGACGAUCCCUAGCUGGUCUGAGAGGAUGACCAGCCACACUGGAACUGAGACACGGUCCAGACUCCUACGGGAGGCAGCAGUGGGGAAUAUUGCACAAUGGGCGCAAGCCUGAUGCAGCCAUGCCGCGUGUGUGAAGAAGGCCUUCGGGUUGUAAAGCACUUUCAGCGAGGAGGAAGGCGUUAAGGUUAAUAACCUUAGCGAUUGACGUUACUCGCAGAAGAAGCACCGGCUAACUCCGUGCCAGCAGCCGCGGUAAUACGGAGGGUGCAAGCGUUAAUCGGAAUUACUGGGCGUAAAGCGCACGCAGGCGGUUUGUUAAGUCAGAUGUGAAAUCCCCGAGCUUAACUUGGGAACUGCAUUUGAAACUGGCAAGCUAGAGUCUUGUAGAGGGGGGUAGAAUUCCAGGUGUAGCGGUGAAAUGCGUA
rnacentral:rRNA from 1 species